AAGUCGUAACAAGGUUUCCGUAGGUGAACCUGCGGAAGGAUCAAUACGAAGAGAGAGAGUGGGAGAUAAGUGGAAAUAUUGGAGAGAAGCAUUUGACAACACUACUAUACACACACACAUUUUACAACUCAUAACAAUGGAUCUCUGGGCUCUU
rnacentral:misc_RNA from 1 species